AUACGUAGGUGACAAGCGUUAUCCGGAUUUACUGGGCGUAAAGGGCGUGCAGGCGGUCUUGCAAGUCAGAAGUGAAAUUCCUGAGCUCAACUCGGGCGCUGCUUCUGAAACUGCAGGACUUGAGUGCUGGAGGGGAUAGCGGAAUUCCUAGUGGAGCGGUAAAAUGCGCAUGUAUUAGGAAGAACACCGGUGGCGAAGGCGAUUAAUUGGUCAGAAACUGACGAUGAGGCGCGAAAGCGGGGGGAGAAAACAGGAUUAGAGACCCUGUUAGUCCACGCCGUAAACGAUGAAUACUAGGUGUAGGGGGUAUCGACGCCCUCUGUGCCGCAGUUAACACAAUAAGUAUUCCGCCUGGGGAUUACGGCCGCAAGGUUGAAACUCAAAGGAAUUGACGGGG
rnacentral:rRNA from 1 species